GACGAACGCUGGCGGCGUGCCUAACACAUGCAAGUCGAACGGAGAAUCAGCAAUGAUUCUUAGUGGCGAACGGGUGAGUAACGCGUAGACAACCUGCCUUCUAGAUGGGGACAACACUGCGAAAGUGGUGCUAAUACCGAAUGUUGUAUUAAGCCUGCAUGGGCUUGAUACUAAAGUUGGCCUCUAUUUAUAAGCUACCACUAGAAGAUGGGUCUGCGUCUGAUUAGCUAGUUGGUGAGGUAAUAGCUCACCAGGGCGAUGAUCAGUAGCCGGUCUGAGAGGAUGAACGGCCACACUGGGACUGAGACACGGCCCAGACUCCUACGGGAGGCAGCAGUGGGGAAUCUUCCGCAAUGGACGAAAGUCUGACGGAGCAACGCCGCGUGAGUGAAGAAGGUUUUCGGAUCGUAAAGCUCUGUCUUUGAGGACGAAUGUGUCUAAUGUAAAUAAUGUUAGAUAAUGACGGUACUCGAGGAGGAAGCCACGGCUAACUACGUGCCAGCCGCCGCAGUAA
rnacentral:rRNA from 1 species